UCACUCUUUCUUUCCUCUCUACUUCCUCUCCACUUCCUCCCUGUUUCGUUGCAAUGGUUCAAAAAUGUAGACUUACUGCCCAUUACAGAGAGAUGUUCGGUGAGCCGGGUAGUCACCAACCGACGACUCACAUUCCGAGGUGGAUGUAACGGCGAGGAGUGAUGAAUUCUACCGGGCGAUUAACGAUCCUUAGUUUUUUUUAAUUUCGGUUCUUGUAUUAUGAAUUCAAAACUUAUUUAUAUAUAAAAUAUUUUGGUUUUGAUUUUUUUAGAAUUUUAAUUUUAUUAAUAAUUUAAAUAAUUUAAAUUAUUUUUUAAUUAUAAUUUUUUUUUAUUUCUGUAAAAUAACGAAACGAAUUAAAUUCGUAGCUAUUUUGCGACUUCUUUACGUGGAAGCUUAACGAGGUUUUUACGAGGAAAUGUUUACAAGGAAAUGACGUGGAAAAUUCACGUGGUCUUUACGAGGAAAGCUAUCAAGGUAUUUACGUUUACUUUACGAAUAUUUACUUUCGAGUUAUUUACGUGGCUUUAACGAGGAAUGGCUUUCGAGGUAUUUACGAGGAAAUUUAGCGACGUCCUUACGUGGAAGCUUUACGUGGUCUUUACGACGAAAUAUUCUUCUUCGCUUUUACGACGAAAUUAUUUCCUCGCUACGUUACGACGAAUUAGCGAGGAUAUAUGCGUUACGACAAACGUAUAACGACGAAACGGGUUUCCUCGCUAAUUCCUCGUAACACUGCUUUUACGAC